CAAGUCACCAGCAUAUAAAAUUCAGUAAUAUCCAAAACCAUGAUGACGUGCAGGGAACUCCAAAGUAAUUUUUUAUUUCUUGCCACCAAAUUUUUUGUGUUGAUAAGAUGAAGCAUAUCAAGUAUUAAUGGACCAUCAACUACCACUCUCAAACACUGCACUACCUAUAUAUUGGCUUGUUAUCUGGCUACCCACCCACAAACCCAAAACCCUAGCUAGUUCAUGGCAUCCACCGAUAAGCCUGACCCAGAAGCCGCCACCAAGUCUGAGGUGUCACCCCUGCCACCUCCUCCUCCUAAGCGUGUCGACUAUUUUGCCAUUGAUGUUGGUCUUAGGGUCUUAUUGUUUGCUGCCACCCUAACUGCGCUCGUGGUCAUGUCCACUGCCAAGCAAACGGAGUUGGCUUCUGUGCCAGGAUCACCUGUCAGAGUGCCUGUUAAAGCCAAAUUCAAUCACUCGCCGGCCUUCAUAUACU
rnacentral:misc_RNA from 1 species